CUCUGGAGAGAAGUCACUCAGCAGCUGCAGGGAGUGUGGAAAGCGGUAAUGACUCCUUGCUGAAAAAAAUAUUGUACAAGCCAGCAGAGCUGCAUAAGCCCUUGAGUCAACACACAGACACAUCAGAUGCCAAGACCUCUAUCUCCCAUUAUAAAUGACAACGGACCUUAUGAAACCACACUCCCUUUUUCUAUCCCUUGGUCAUUUCUGUCCUUCACAUCUUUGCUCAUAAUUAAGAUUCUAUGGUAUGCGUGGAAAACCGUGAGCUUUCAGAGGUGAAUGAAUGACAGGAAGCUGUCAGCAGGUUGAUCCUUUCGCUGUUGCUGCACUAUCUUUCCUCGCCAGACUUCAGAUCCUAUCAGCGGCACUCUGGACGGAUACCUUGCCAUCACAUCACAGUAACUCACACAGAACCCCCCUUCCCAUCUCCCUCCCGUUCUUUUUCCCUUCCCCUUCCUCCGUACCAGAGGAGCGCCCCUCAGAUGCGGAAGGAAAAACAGUUUCAGCCUCUAGAGUCAGUUGGCCCCUUCACAGCAGUGCAGCAUCAUUCUGGAUGGGCAAGCUUCACGUCACUAUGAUUCUGCUGUGCUGCAUCGAUUAAUGACUCACUGGUUGCAAUAAACUCUGAGCUGAGAUCAAAACCAGUGUUGCAUUCGUUCAACACUGUCAAGCUCAGCUGUUCUUACUGUAUACUGUAACUGUAUACUUGUUUCAACAAUGCAAUAAACGUUGUUCUUCAGGGAGAGAUCUGAGAGCUUCACAUCCUGUUUGCUGAAUGAUAUCAGUUGUGUUCACUGCGUCGCUUCCGCUUCAAAACAAGUGCAUCAGCCCAUUUUGUUGGAGGUGUGGCUUUUUUUUUUUUUUUUACAUUGAUACAAUAUGACACUUAUUCACAAUUCCUCCCUAAAGCACUGCAGCACUAUUCUGGGAAUGCAAUAUUCUGAAUUAUGUAAUAGUAGAGAUGAGUCUUGGAGCAAGCACAUAGCAUUAUUAAUGAGAAUGUACAGAAGGUUAAACCAAUGCACUGUUUUUUAAGGAAAAAGAAAAACACCCCAGUCAACAGAACAACAAUAUCUAGAGUUCCUUUAGAAAUGUCCUAACUGUUUCAGCAUCACACUAUAGAAUGAGAUGUAGUGCAUCCUAUGGUAUCAUCAAAUUCAAAGAGCAAAGCAUUAAGACAUUUAGAGCUCAACCAGUGUGUCAUAAAAUGGCAUUAGAUAUGCAAUGAUAUGGCACAAUUUAAGUUUCAUUGAAGAGCAAUGCUUUUUGCAUAUGUAUUAAUGCAGUUUAUAUAAGGGGUGAAACAGUGGAAUAAAAUGUAAAAAUGUAUUAUAAAAUGUACAGUAUAUAACUCAAUUAAAUGCUCUGUAUAUGAAAUAUGUAAAAUAAUGUAAU